ensembl:lncRNA
AAACUCUUCACUACUUGCCUUUGCACACAUACUUUGUGGCUCCUUUGAUGUCCUUUUGCUGAAGGUUGCUCAUGGAGGACAGGGAAUAUACCUAGCUUCAACUUUUUAGGAGGCCUUUCGACCAGAACAUGGAGGCUGAAGCUCAAGCUCAUCCUUGAGAGCAUCUUGACAUAUGCCAGUGCACUGUUGCUGAUAGUGAGGAAACAAAGCUGUGGAAUUUCUUCACAUAGUUGCUGCCAAUGCUGUGGAUUGUGCUUUCAGUAUUGGUAACGCUGUGAGGGAUGGAGAUGAUCUUCUAGCAUGACAUCUAAAUACAAUGAUAUAAUCAUCACCUCAGUAUAGUAAGUGUUGUGGCCUUGCAGUAUCCAUCUUUGGAGUCUGUAUGGUGACGGAGGGAUCCAGACUGAAGGAUUUGACCUUAUGAGCAGACCUGGAUGACAUCCAUGUUAUUGUACCAAAUGCCAUCUGCCCUAUUUGUUCUUGGCCCAGACUCCAAAAGUCCUCGGCUCUUGGUACAUAUCCAG